GCAGUCGUGGCCGAGAUGGACUAGAAAUCCAUUGGGGUCUCCCCGCUCAGGUUCGAAUCCUGUCGACUGCG
rnacentral:tRNA from 2 species